AAAUAGUGAUUUUAAGUAGGCUUACUAAAUUUAAGUAUGCAAGCUACAAAAUUUAGGAGAAAAACCUUCUACAGUAUGAUUUUAGUGACAAGGACCGUCAACUUUUCAAAAAUAUUUUCAAAAAAGAAAAUUUUUUGUCGACAAGCAAACUUAUUUCUCCGAGUACUGGUAAAUAUUUAAUUCUUUUUAUUUAAAAAUUUAGAUUUCCCCCAGUGUUUUCGAAAUAACAAGCGAAAGAGUGGAGACCACAGAGACAACAAGCAAUUUUCAUAUUUUUGGCGCAACGAAAACGCAGGAAACGGGAAGCAGAGUCCAGAGAUGGCGAUAGAGACAGCAACAGGGGCGGGGAAAGAGACGGCGACAGUGGCGGAGAACAAAAGGACCAGAAGCCAUUGCCCAUGGCGGAAGAAAGUGGCAGAAUGAAAUGGCGCUACCGAAGACAACAGCCAAGAGCAGCUGCGAGCUUUAUGUCGUCCCAUUGACGUUAUAAUCAAAAAUCAUAUGACGUUUUUCGCUGGCAUGCCACACCAUAUAGCAUAUAACCAAAGACAGCCAAAGUUCUUGGGGCAGAAAGUAGGAGGACAGCACAAAGGCACUGGCGUAGCCAAGUCCACAG